rnacentral:rRNA from 1 species
ACACUCCUGCGGGAGGCAGCAGUGGGGAAUUUUGGACAAUGGGGGCAACCCUGAUCCAGCAAUGCCGCGUGAGUGAAGAAGGCCUUCGGGUUGUAAAGCUCUUUUGUCAGGGAAGAAACGGUGGUGGCGAAUAACUACUACUAAUGACGGUACCUGAAGAAUAAGCACCGGCUAACUACGUGCCAGCAGCCGCGGUAAUACGUAGGGUGCAAGCGUUAAUCGGAAUUACUGGGCGUAAAGCGUGCGCAGGCGGUUGUGUAAGUCAGAUGUGAAAUCCCCGGGCGCAACCUGGGAAUUGCAUUUGAGACUGCACGGCUAGAGUGUGUCAGAGGGGGGUAGAAUUCCACGUGUAGCAGUGAAAUGCGUAGAUAUGUGGAGGAAUACCGAUGGCGAAGGCAGCCCCCUGGGAUAACACUGACGCUCAUGCACGAAAGCGUGGGGAGCAAACAGGAUUAGAUACCCGUGUAGUCCCA